AUUGAACGCUGGCGGCAUGCCUUACACAUGCAAGUCGAACGGUAACAGGUCUUCGGAUGCUGACGAGUGGCGAACGGGUGAGUAAUGCAUCGGAACGUGCCCAGUAGUGGGGGAUAGCCCGGCGAAAGCCGGAUUAAUACCGCAUACGACCUGAGGGUGAAAGGGGGGGAUCGCAAGACCUCUCGCUAUUGGAGCGGCCGAUGUCAGAUUAGCUAGUUGGUGGGGUAAAGGCCUACCAAGGCAACGAUCUGUAGUUGGUCUGAGAGGACGACCAGCCACACUGGGACUGAGACACGGCCCAGACUCCUACGGGAGGCAGCAGUGGGGAAUUUUGGACAAUGGGCGCAAGCCUGAUCCAGCAAUGCCGCGUGCAGGAAGAAGGCCUUCGGGUUGUAAGCUGCUUUUGUCAGGGAAGAAAUCUUCUGGGUUAAUACCUCGGGAGGAUGACGGUACCUGAAGAAUAAGCACCGGCUAACUACGUGCCAGCCGCCGCGGUAACAC
rnacentral:rRNA from 1 species